rnacentral:lncRNA from 1 species
CGCCCAUGACCCGUCCAGCCCAACACCAUCGUCGACCCGACCCGAUCUCCCCCUUUUAUUUCUCUUCAGCCAAAACCCGGUACUCACCGACGACGUUAUCAACAACAGUCAACAGUUGUUAACAAAUAACGAUGACAACGAGCAACAACGUGCAAAACCCGACCCCCAGACCCGAUUUCGUCACUAACUCAAUACACAAACGACGUAACAGCGACAACCUCAACAACAGCGUACAAUUUCAAUGCUGUAACCACAAGCAGCCAACAACGACGGUAGCACCACAUCAAUAACGACAAAAUUCCAGACGUCUCAUUUACUAUUUUGCCUUGUCAGAUAGUCUUUUAUGGAUAAAAUGCAGAAUGCUCUCAUCUUUUCAGUUGGUGGUUCAUCAAUUUGGGGAAAAAAUCAAUUCACCUCCUUUGACCAAGCAAAGUAACGACUCUUUCCUCCUUCUCUCCACUGAUUUUUGAGUACAAAAUAUGGCCUUUGUCUCACUAUGGAUGUGAAACUUUUUUAAGAAUUGGUUGAAAUUUUAGAUUUGAAAUCCAUCCUUUUUUCAAAAUUCGAAACCCAUUUUCUCCCCCAAUUUAUCUUAUAAAUAGUGGUUGAAGGAUACGGGAAAAGAGGAGGAAUUUUAGGAAAAAAAAGGGUGUUCUGGAGACGCGUGUCUCUAACCUCACGCAACCAAAAAUCCGGAAAGAAAACUCGAAAAAUCAAUUUCCAACGAAUUCAGUUGAACACUAUUGAUUUUGGAAUCUAGUUUUGGCCGUGGUGAAGGUUUCAUCCUUGAAAAACUCGUAAUCCCAUUCGCUGCCCGGGAAAAAGGUUAACACAUCUUCCUUUUUUCUUUUAGUUGAUUGUUCUUCACCGUCUUCUUUAUAGACUUCUCUCGUUAUCAUAAUGGCUGAGACUGUUUAGUUGAUUGUUCUUCACCGUCUUCUUUAUAGACUUCUCUCGUUAUCAUAAUGGCUGAGACUGUUUGCUGUAGGAACUUAGGAUUUUCUUAUAUUUUUUGUCGAUUUGGUGGCUGUGUUCCUGUAGUUCCUAGGCUGCAUCUUAUUAUGUUUCGUUAUUUGUGUUGUUUGGUGGUAUGUCAGAUUUUGAAAUUAUUUAUUCUUUUUCUUGUUUGUUGCGGGAAUGAAAAUUCACUCAACAAGUUAAACUUCUGUGUGGAUUUCUUGAUUUUGUUAAUAAGUAUAUUUUGUCAAAGAGAAAAUUUGCCUUUUUGUUUCUCUGUAUUGCUUGGAAAACAGUGGCUCGGAAGUCGAUUUUCCUUUUUCCAUUGCUUUCCAUAUUGGUUAUUAGUGUUUACGGAUGUACCAAAUAAAUUUUACUUCCUUAGAUUUGCCUUGUCAUUGGUUUUGUUAUUUGAAAUAGAAUAAUGUCUCUCUAAAGUUGGCACGAUUAAUUCAUUCUCUUGCAAAUAAUUCAUUGUGCUGCAUUUGAUCCAUCUUCUACGUGCACGUUGCAAUUGCCGUUUAAAAUUCGAUAUUGUCUUGAAAUUUCUAAACUCUUUUACUCCAUACAAAUUAAUUCUAGAGUUAAUAGUGGACAUAUAUUAAUAACAAUUUUUUAAGUGUUGCUUUCUUAACUAGUUAUAUUAGUACUAUUUGAAUAAAUUCCAAUCUUUAUAUUUUCUUGAUGCACGUGACACCGACUUGAGUCUCAGCGGACUCCAUUUCCUACAUUUCUCGAUGGACUAGGCCUACAUCUUCUACAAGUUCCAAAUGCCUUCAUUUUUGAAGGAACGAGGCUGGUAUACAUUUGUAUAAGCCUGAUAUAUGAGGUUUACAGGUUAAAAGUGGCUGAUAUAAGUCAAGAGAUGACUUAUGGUAAAGCUAGCAAGAAUAAAAGGUUUUCCAUGCUGUUAUACAGCGUAUAUACAGAAAAAAUGCAGUAAAACGAGGCUGAUAUACAGUCAGUAUACAGCUGGUAUACAACUGCAGAAAUGGACCAAAAGUCCAUAAAGAAUGAGCCCAAAAGUUUUCUAGAUUUGGAAAAGGCCCAUCUUUUAAUUCUUCUUAUUCAUCUCCUUGUAAAUCCUAUUUGAUAAUAUGUUUGCCUUAAAUUAUUAAUUUGGUUAACUUUUAUAAAUCCCCUUCGAAUCAUUAUUUUUGUUUAUCUCUGUAUUUUUCCUUUGUUAUUUUAUAGCGUAAUAUUCGAAAUUAAUAAAAAUAUAUCUUUCUUUAUGUUUUUUCUUAAAAUAAUUUUUUCUAAAAAAAAUAAUCAAAUGACAUUUUAUUUUAUCAACGUGUCAAAGUAGUUCAUUUAAGUUAAAAAGAAUUCUCAUCGACCUAAAAUCAAUUUCCUUUGCAAAAAAUAAAAAUAUUUUCACUAAUUAGUCAAGGCUCAUAAUUUGUUUAAAUUGAUAUUUUUCUUUAAAGACAAAUAUUUUUUUAAUCAAAAAUGAUAUGUAAAAAUCACUUUAUUUCUCCCUUUUAUUUGAAAGAAUAAUUUAUGAAAAAAACGGGUUUAGCUCAACCUUCUUUAUAGGAAAUUUUCUCAAGUUAAAUUGGACUAAUUUUCACUUGGUUGACAAAUGUCAUUUUAAGUCUUCAAAAAAUAGUUAAAGGUAAUAUUUUUUAUAAAAUCAAGUCUUCGUAAAAAUUAGCCACGUUUAGUUAGUCAAGUUAGUUCUUUUUGGUAAAUCGUUUUAAACGGACGCUCCUAAGUGCCUUAAAAACCUUCUUAGAGUGUUAAUUGAACCCUUAUCCAGUUCUCUGGUUUUAAAGGCUUAUUUCUGUUAUUGAGCCUUUGAAACUCUUUUUAAGUUUUUUCGUGAUUUUUUCUAUAAAAAUUAAGUGGCGACUCUAUGAAUUUCUUAAAAUUAUUUUGAAUUUUUUUUGAAUCUUUCUCGUCAAAUGAAUCCGUAAAGAAUAAAACAAAGUUUAAGGAGGGUAGGGUUCAAAAGAGGGAUAAAAAUUGAAUGGCUUACGACUUGUGAUGUGUUUGCCAAAGAAAGGUCAAAAGGCUCAAAGUGGGUGACUAGGGAUAACAUUUAUGCGAGGGUAGACUUUUUAGGCUAGAGUGGACUUUCAAUAUCGCAAAGAUGGCCUAGGAUCAUCUCACCAACCAAGUACAAUCAAAAUUAGUCUUGAUAUACUAAUGGGGCAAGUUCUAGAUGGUACAAGUAUACAUGAGAUUUAAACAAAUAAGUUCACCGCACAUGGCAUACAAAUUCGCCAAGGAGGUUCAAUUGCCCCUCCCGUUAGAGACAAAAAUAGAGUACUUACCAAUUUUCACAAGCCAAAAUUUUGGAGUCAUAAAAAGAGAAAAAGUAUUGAUACAAGAUCGCUCAUGUCUGUACCCUUGAUUUUUGGAAAAAAAAUUAGACGGAGGGGGGUGUUUGCUUUCCAUUUGCACCACAUAUAAUUUGCUAAUUAUGGAACCAACAUAAGCCUUCGUCUCACAUGUUGGCUUUCAUACGGGCAAACCAUAUGGAUACUCAGACUUCGCCAUAGGUAUAAUUAGAUCCCAAAUUCAAAAUGCUACAGGUACUCAGAUUUUUCUUGCAUUUAUUACCUCGAUGCUACGGAUACUCAGACUUCCCCUACAUUCAUGGCUCGAAACUCAAUUACAAUGCUUUUCCCUUAAGAAUGUCCUCACUCAAUCUAUCAUAGGAAAAAGCUAGUCCGAUAUCACCAUAACCAAAAUAAAGAUAAAGUAAAAAUGUAAAAACAAACUAAACAACUAAUCCAUGAAACAUGGGCACCAGCAGAGUGCCCAAAAAAUGCAACCCAGAAACAAAAAAUUAAAAAUCAUCCAAAAAGUCAUCAAAACAUCCAAAAAUAUCUAAAUAAUAUAGAUCCGGGGGCAGGCACCCCCUACUGAAAAGCUAGCAGUGUCCUCACUGCAUAAGUAAUAGAGCAUAAAAUAGAGAUAAGGGUGCUCUCUAAAACUGCAUCAGGAGCUGCUUUCGCUUGCGGACUUGCAUCAUCUCAAUCAGCAUCAGCACCGGACUACUCAGUAGGGGCCUCAUCAUCGCUGUCCAUCCUGGGAGAAGGUAGUCUGUCUCAGAAUAUUAGCACUUUCCACAGGCCCUUUACCUCUUUCUACAUCUUACUGAAAAACUUAUCUUUCUUCUUCUCCCUUUUCUUUAUCUUCUCGUGGGAGUCCCGAAGCUUCCUGUGAUACUCUGCCAACGCUGAGUAUGCCCUUUUGAGCCUAGAAAUGGUGGCUUCUUGAGUCUGUUGGUCCUUUGGAUACUUCUCUUAAUUUGAUCGGGACACAAAUGAGUAGCGGGUGGUGGAGGGCUCUCUUUGCCUCUGGGGCAAUACUGACACAAGCCCCUUGAUGACCCUAAUAUCAACACCAAUAUCUUCAAGAGGCCCAACAGUGAAUGGCCUACAUGACUCUGACUUCUCACAUGUCGACUUUCUCAAGUCGAUCUUUCUAUUUUUCCUUUUUCUCGGUGCACCUUAACCCCAAAUUUUGAGAGGAUAAAUAGGGGUUCAGGGCGCACCCAAGUAUCUCCUGGGUAUUCCGCAACCCCAACUCUCCUGAAUAGCUCAGUGAUCAAAGAAUGGAAUAAGAGAUACAUACCACCAGGGUUUCUGAAGAACUGCAUAUCAGAUAUUACCAACAGAUAUCAUCUGACGACCAACAUUUAAAGAAAAGUUGUCGAGUAUGCAGGGAACCAUAUGGGAACGCAAAUCUGUAGUUGCAGUCAAAUGAAUGCAAGGAGAGAUCCGGCUGCAAAUGAUAUUCAGCUAUAUUCGGGCCUCAGUAGUGAAGUCAUUCAUCGAGAUGCCCCUUUUGGUUGCCACCUACAAGACCUCCUUGACUGGGCACAACCUCUCUACCAUCUAGCUUCCCGGCUCACACCCCUUAGCUUCAAUGUCAACUAUGUCUACAUUUGGGAGCCCAUAUAGAUCAUUGAUUUGUUCCACCUCAAAUUACACAUUCCUCCCCAAAUCCUGAUAACUGGGUUUUUAAAAGAUACUAUACUAAGAUUAGCGUAGAACUCUCGCACCCAUUGCUGAUGUGCCCGGCAAGGAUCCAGAGCAAAACAUCUCCACCUAUUAUCCACGAGCCUAUCAUGCAAUGCUGAAAGAUUUUUCGACACCUUCUCCAAACAUAUACUCCUUUCGGGAAGCAACUUUGUCCUUAGAAACUCAUCGUAGUAUUGGUUGUGGCACUUGGGAGUCAUGAAUCAAAUUUGGUCAUAAUUCUCAAUAAUGUAAACCUAAAAAACAUGAGUACAACAAAAAUAUUUAUCAUCAAUAUUUUCAUGCUUAAACUAGACUAUUUUGUCUUAUAAAACUCAUGGGAUGGGUACUUGGUGGUGUUUGACCAAAAAAUCAAAGUGCAGAAAUUUUGGCCUAGGCUGAGAUUCAGCCUUAGUUAUGGCGAUCACAAGCCACUGAGUUGUGAUUAUGGUGCCGCGAUCGUGACUCGAUAACUGUGAUCACUGGUUCCGCAAUCAUGAUCCCGUGACCGCAAUUAAGGUAACUAAGGCUAGAUUGGGCUAGAUUUUCAAAAGCUUCACAAUCCAAUUUUAAGGCCAAAAUAUGUUUGAAAACAACAGUUAAUCAAUAAGCAUAUCAAACAAAACUUCUAAGUUCUUAAUCAUGCCCUCACGAUGUGAAAAUAAUGAGUUAUAGACUCUUUUGGGCAUUUGAUCGGGCACUUGGUGUGCUCUCUAUACUUUACUCAAAUUCACACAUUUUUUGGAUACUCAAGAUUUUCCCACAUGUAUGCACACUAUUUUUAACAGCUUCACCACACAAGUAAGAUUUAACAAGAAUUUAGCAAGGAAAAACAUAGUUUUAGGCCCUACCUAGUUCAUGCACUCUAAGGCCUACUCACAAUAAUUAAAAACAUGAAUUUAAAGCACUUACCGGAAGAGUGAUGCAAGAUGGAUGCAAAGAUGCUUUUGAAAUGCUCAAAAUAUAGACAGGAACAUGUGUAAUUUGAGAGAAAAGUUGGAGGGGGAAUGUGAGGUAAAUAGGAGACCGGUGGUCUUUUAAACCAUGUCUGGCUGCGAUCGCGGUCAAGGUUCGCGAUCGUUGACAAGCGGAUGAUCGUGAUUGCGACAAAGACCCAACAAUCGUGUUAACAGAGGGCAUUUCUACACCUCUAUUUUCCCCUGUUCAGUCCAACAUGCAAAAAUCCCACUCUUACCCUCUUUCAAACUUAUUCAAUGCACUCUAAAGUGCCAUAAAUGCAUGGAUUAAUCAAUGACAAAAUUAAAAUCUACACUACCAAGUUAAAAAGAAAGGAUACGGGCCACUUUAUGGCGUGAUGGGUUGAUUCCCAUCGAGUGCCAAAUUUUAAUGUCGUGGCACGACACACCUUUUCAAGUAUCAUUUAUGUCUCUACUUAGAAGAUUUAAACUGACGUCCCAUCUUGCAACCAUUAUGUUUUGAGCGAAAGUCGGACAAAAGAUUCAAAUAUUCCAAAAUGAGACGAAAUAAAGUUGAGGAGGUAUUGAUGACUUCUCUAUCUCGCCACUUUGAAGACUUGAAUCGUUUACCCAACUUUACAUCAAACUCUCGAGUAGGCUCAUUGGGUAUUAGUAAGAACAUCAAAAGACUACUAGUUGAAUAUUAGAUUUUCAGCUUUCUUGUCUUCAAAUGAGGGACGUCAUCUCUCCCUUUUAAGAUGACAAACUCCAAAAUAUAAGAAUUUUGUACCCCAUUUCUCAAAUUCGCCAUUUGCUUGGGUGUCUUAACUUUCAUCACAUCCAGCAAGCAUAAUGUUUAAAAAUGAUUAGAAUGAGGUCGUUGUCCCAAUUCUGGAUUCGCAUUCAUCUUGAAAUUCUCAUCCGAAAAUGAACUAAGCCCUCACAAUGGAUUUGCUUAGCUUCUUCUUUGGACUCUAGUACCAAUUCCUUUACUGUGGCAUCCUUUAUUAGUUUUUGUUUGUUUGGUUGGCAAAUCACCAAGGAUUCUUCACUAUCAAGCUCAUAAUCAAGCUCAUGGCUUGAUAUCUUUUCUUUAUCAUCCUUAUUUUGAAGAUUGGGCAUAUACAUGACACUUGAAAGAUUGGUCUCCUCACCCACUUCUUAUUUUUCACUGUCCAUUCCAAAUGCCAUCAUGGGUUGAUUCUAGUGAUGCUGUCCUCCUUCAUUGUAGUCACUCGAUCCAUGAGAUUUAGAAGCAUUGCUGCAACAGGAUUGUAUCCGACAUGUUGUUCUUCCUUUAUCACAUCAUGAGACCUAUCAAAAUCAUAAGAACUAACAUUUUUGUUAGCAUAACUAGGGGAGGGGACAUUUGGACAAUCACUCCAAUGUCCAUCUUGACCACUACAGAAAGAACAAUUUUACUCCUUAUAGUAUUGAGAUGGUGCACACACAUUUUUUCGGGGAGCAUAUUUACAAUCUUGACAAAAGUGGGGUCCACCACAAUAUGGACAUGAAUCAUCAAGAUAAAAUUUGCAACCACCAAACUCAUAUUCAUUUCAAGAUGUCAUAGUAAUAAGCAAGUGAAAAUAAAAAUCUACCUAACACAAGAAACAAAAGAAAAUCACAAACAAAUAUUUACUAGUUUGAAUUCAAGAAACUAAGGUAAAAUUCAAACUAACUCAAUACGUCAAAUUAUUCUCCGACAAUGACGUCAUUUUUGAUAACACUGAACUCACACGUCAAUUUAAGUGCAAAGAGAUCAUUGUCAGUAUAUUACUCAACUUUGAGUCGGGAUCAAAUCCACGAGGAAUAAUGUAACUGAUGAUUGAGUAAGUUCAAAGUGAAAGUUAUUUGCUAAAUUCAAACCUAGGAUACAAGUAGUUUGGGAGAUGUUAAGAGAAUUCAAAAAGAUAACAAAUUGGAUUUCUAACUGACUAAUUUGAGGUUGAGAAUAAUUAGAGCGUAAUCAAUUAGGAACAGAUCUUGGGGCUAUGGUUUACUAGGGACAACUAGUGUGCGGGUACAUGAAAAUCAACUCCAAAUCUUAGCUAAAGUAUGCGUGGGUAGGCUCAGUUAGGGAUUUUGAUACCAUCCAUUCAAUAAAGUACCAAACUAUCAGCUAAGGAUUCUUUCGAAUACCUCGUGGGUGUGGUCAACCAAUCGUUACCAAACCUCAAUUGGGCAUUCCUAUUUCUAAGAAAAUGCCCAAAAUAUAACAAUUCCACAUUUUAUCCUUAUUUCUAAGACAAUAAAAAAAGAGUAACUAUUAUCUAUCUUAUUAUUCACAAAUCCUCAUGUUACCCACAUCCCUCUUUCAAGGAUGGCGUGGUGUUUAGAGAUAUUAAGACUUUCACCAACAAAUUCCAUUUUGCGCCCUAUUCAAUCAAGAAUUUAAGCUAACAAUCACAACCCACACACAUUUGCGCCCUAUUCAAACAUAACCCCAAGAGGGAGAACUAACUACUCAUAAGGAUAAUAAAUAAAGACAUACCAAAAUCUCCAUCAAAUAGAUUCAUGAAAGAUAAAGAAGAUGCGAAUUCAAACUUUAAGUUUCAAUAAAUCUUAAGUGGAAAAUGCUAAUCCUUCACUUAGAAGUUACUCUAAUGUAUUCUUCACCCUAUACUGGAAGAGAUUUCCAAAAAUUGGGAAUUUUUCUCUAUGAGAGAGGGUUUGGUCUCUUAAGGAAAUUGGGGACGGCUGUUGUGAAAUUACAAAACUGCCGCGUUGCCACGAUUGCUGACAUUUGUCCGUAAUCGUGGAUGCUGCAUCCGCGGUUAAAAACUCGCGAUCGCGCUUCUUUAACCUAGCAUUACUGGCUGCGAUCAUGGUCUGAGGACGACGAUCGCGGUAAUUGAGGCUGGUUUCUGCUUCAAGUCUUCUAGCUGUACUUCUUUUCUUCUUUUUGAUCCUUUUUAGCUUUAAUCCACAUCUUUCCAUCUCAUUUUUUGAUCCUUUUUAGCUUUAAUCCAUAUCUUUCCAUCUCAUAACUUGUCUGUCUGCAAAAUGUAAAAAUUAGUGCAUUUAAUCGCAAAUAUGUCUCAUUUAUACAUUCAAUUCAUAGUAGCGGGCAAGAAUGUUGAGUGCAAAUGAGUGGUAAAUUUGCCAUUCAUCAUCCACCAUUUUCACCAUCUUUGAAGCUUGAUAACUCGAAUUUGAGCAUUUUCAAAGAAAUUUUUGAGAUUUUCUUCAUGGGUAUGUUUCUAAACAUUGUAUUAUUAUUUUUCACGGAUUUCACUAUCAAUUUACCUUUAAAUCUUCAAUUCUAAAUUUUAUUUUGCAAUUUUCAUGAUAAAGUUUAAAAAUAAUAUUUUUUCAAUUUGGACCUCAUUUUUAAUUUAUUUUUACAUGAAUUUUCAGUUUUAGGUUCCUAAUGUAAUAAAAAUGUGUUUGCAAAAAUAAACUUUCAGUUUAAUCCUUUUUUAUUCGGGAUUAAUUUUUGCAUUUUUUGUAAAUUCGAAAUAAAUAUAGUUGGUGUGAGUAUCAUUGAGCCCUUUUUUGACUUAUAAAUGUCAUAUUUGAUUGGAUUGGACGCAUUUGGUGUUGAUUCAAGAGAGUUGGGAUUUCAAUUGAGGUUUUAGACUACAUUUGAAUUUGCGGAUCUUAAUUUAAGGCAUGCUAAGAUGUUCAUUGACUUUUUUCCGAAGUGUUUAUGUAUUGUAUGUUUGUUUAAUUUUUUUUUUUUGUGUAUCGCUUAGGAUUGUGGGUCCCACUUAGGUGAAAUGACGAGCAUCCCCUUGGAUACCGGAGUCUUUGAUGGAUUGUCGUUGGAUUAUUACCUUGAUUACUUAGUACUACUAUUAUUAAAUAUUCUUAGAUUGAAAUGUAGAUAGAUAACCUAGUGAUUCUCAAAUAAUGAAGAAUGGAUUGUCAUUUUAGAGCUUGAAUCUUGUUAGCGAACUUUAUUUGGAUGAUAGUGGGUUAGUGCCUUGUUAGGGGAUAAUUAUGUUAUUAUCAUCAUUAUUUUGAUGGAAUGAUUGAAUAUUUAGAGAAUACUUAGAGUAUGAAUAUACUUGUAAUAGCUGAUGAGAGUUAAUGAAUGGGCCAAGUUAGGUUUGGGUAGUCCGCAAUUUAUUAUAAUUGAGAUUGUUAUUUAUUUUGUGAUGCUCGUGUCGGGCUUAUGUGAACUUCAUUAUGGACUUGAGUAGUUAUUUGUGAUUGUAUAUCCGGGUAGGGGCUUAUAUGCAUAUUGCUUUUAAUUUGAGAGGAUAUACUAUUGUGAUGCUCGAGUGGGGGCUUGACUUGAUGUUGUUAGUCAUGUUUUGUUCAUUAAAUGACUAAUUUAUUAUUGCAUCUUUCGAGUGGAGGCUUGAUUUGACAUUGUAGUCCUUAUAUGAGUAUUUAAUUGCAUAUUCAUUACAGUGAUGUCCGACUGAGGAGUUGGGAGUGAUAAUAUUAAUGACCACAUGACUAUUUAUUUUGGUGGUGCCAAGUGGAGGAACGGAAUGAAGAAUAGAAGGAAUAUGGAUCAUAUCUUUAAUCAUUAGAUAUUAGUCAUUUGAGGAUGAUUUGUGUUUAGGAUAGAGAUAUAUCUAAACACUCCACGUGAUUAAUGAAACGAGAAUAUUGCUUAAUGCAUCUAUAUUAAAGACUCACUUCCUCGCUCAAUAAUGUAAUUUUGAAACUAAUUUGGAUAGAUAACUUAGAGGAUGAUCAUUCUCAAGUAAUAAUAUCAACCCCAUAAAUCAGUAACCACGAUAAACACCAACAUCAACUAAGUAGAAUUAGCUGUUAAUGGUUCAAUUAGCUGUUAUAGAGAGAUAAUUUUACAAAGAGUGUACUGCUGUAAUAAACAUCAUUACUGUUAUAGGUAGAAUUUCGUUAUAGAGAAGUAAAAUAUAACAAAAAAAUUAAUUUCGGAGAAAAUCAAAUUGCUAUAAUAAAAUAUUGUUAUAACGAGGUGACAUUAUAGAAUGUCUGAUUGUAUAUAGUGUAUUUAGUAUAGGAGAUUUUUUUUUGAAUGAAUCUUUUCUUGUUUUAAAAUAGGAGCAAGAGAAUUUGGUAUAGUAGCACUUUAACUGCUUAUUUUUUUUCUUUGUAUAUGUUUUAUUGGUGUAGUUUGUUCGGAGAAAUAGAAGUGAAAGAAGAGCGAGAAGUAAGAAAAAUAACAAAUAAAUAGUUUGAGAGAGUGAAAGCACUCAUGAGUUGUACUUUGUCAAAGAAUAAUUAAUAAUUAUAUUUGAAUUGGAGAGUCGUAACUCUCAAUAACAUAUUAUUGAGUAAAAGGUUACUCACAGUUAUAUUUUAUCUCUGUCCCUCUUGACUUUUAUAGUUAGAAUAUUUUUAAAAAAUACUGUAUUACCUAAACGUUACUCACAUAUACGUUUAUUUCAAACCUAACUCAAUCUCUCAUUUCUCAAUUUAGUUACCUGAUUUUACUUCAUUAACUUGUGAAUAAGUUUGUGCUUCAUGCGGUAAUGAAAACCUCAUUAAAUUUAGAGUAAUGUUUUUUAUAAGAUUAGAUUAAGAGAUUUUUAAAAUUUUAAAUAUUCAAAAAAGUUUGUUCUUCUUCAAAUCCAAAUGGAUUAUAGUAAAUACUUAAUGCAAUGCAUUUCUAUACUUAAUGCAAUGCAUUUCUCUAACUUUGAAUUUUUUAGUAAAUAAAGUAACAUGAAGCUAAUAAAGAAGAACAAAUUGGUGCAAAAAUUAAUUUUCUAUAAAUAGUAUAUAAGGAAGAAAUAGACUUGAAACAUAUAGUUUGCAACAACUGCUUUUCGUUAUUGUUGGGUUUGAUUUUUGUACUCUUAUUCGUUUUCGCCUUAAGGGUGAAUAAAGCAUAAAACAGGUCCAUCUACUUCAAUCUACGGAAUCAAAUAACAAUACUUUUUCGUGCUUUAUUUCCCUCUCUAUUUUAGAGUACUUUUUAUAACUUUAUUAUUGGGACUGUUGUACAUAAUUUUCAAUAAUAUUGAAAUAAAGUAAUUAGAGAAAUAUGCAAAUGCAUAAGAAUUCAACCCAACCAAAAAUGUGAAUAAACCAUUAAUGUUUACCUUGGAAGUGGCGAUGAAAUAAAUAAAUUCCUCGUAUUUUCUUAUAGUUCUUACAUGAAUAUUGAAAUUCAAAUCUGCAAUAAAAGAUCAAUCUUAAUAGGCAUGUACCAAUAUGAGGAUAAUCCCUCAUUCUUCGUAAUUUGUGUUGAAAUUAUCAACAAAUAAUUUUACUAUUGAUUAUAUAAUAAAAAUAUUCUUGAUAACAAUUUAUAUACGUAGUUAGGAGAGACACAAAGGAAAAAAAAUAAAUACUAAACCACUAAUCCAGUUCUUUUUUAGAACAAAAGUGCAAAUUAUUUUUUUGCUUAGCCUAAAUAUAUUUAGUAAGCAAACACGAUUGUGUUUCCAAGAAAUGAUGACUUGACAACGAGAGCUAAUGCUCGACGCCCCACCAUCCUUAUAAUAGUCAACAAUAUCCAAGUCAUGACACACUAUAGCCAUCGAUUGUCCAUAUUCAUCAUUUUUCAAUUAGUCAACACUUUAUCAACUAACCAUCAUGUAAUACUAAUCCUCAUGUAUCAAUAAAUCAUCCUUUAUCAACUAAACAUAAAUUAUUAACUAAUCUUCAUAUAGCGUCUAAUCAUCACUUAUCAACUAGUCAUUAUUUACCAACAAACCAACAUUGGUCAACUAGCCAAUAUAUAUCAACUAAUCAUUAUAUACUAGAGUCUAUUCAUACUACAUUAUAACUAAUUCCUCAUUUUCAACUUGGCUACAUUGUCAAUCUGAUCACACCCCAAAGUCAUCAUAUCAUAAUAAGUAUAUCAUCAUAUUAUACUACUAAUAGCCGAACUCAAACCGGUAUGGAUAUUAAAUAAUAUCAUUAUAAAUAUCAUCCUAAUCAUCUUCCNNNNNNNNNNNNNNNNNNAGCAUAUAUAUAUAUAUAUAUAUAUAUAUAUAUAUCGUUAUAAUCAUCCCCCGACCUUGUCGGACAUAUAUAUUGUAGGACCCCACAAAUUUUCCUAGUCAUUAAAACUCUUUAAAGCAUGUCAAGGGAAGCUUCACACUUAGAAAAUUUGGCUAAGUAUUGGAACUUCUUCAUUUCAUAAGCCUUCAAACUUUGAUGAUUUAUUUCAUGACCUUCCCGACCUUUGGUAGUUGAUAUUUUAGCUAAUUCUUGUCCAGAAUGUCAAUAGAGUUUUUCAGACAAGUUUCAAAUUUUUCGAACCUCGUUUAGACCACGUUUGGGGUCUCAAAAUAGUAGACCAACGCGAUCUUGGCGCGCCGCGUCGCCUAUCGCGUUGGUUAACAUUGUUGCAGGCUGCCAGAGUCAAAAGUACUGAGGCUCUACGCGAUUAUGACGCAACGCGUCGGGUAUCGCGCCGAUGCCAUCGACACGCCGCAUCGACCAGCGCAUCGGCACCCAAUUUUUCAGUCAUUAAAAUAGCCGCGACCCCAGGAUUAUUUCAGUUUUUUUUCCCACUCUUAUAUAACCCUAAAACGCGUGUUUCAGCCAUAUUUUACCCAAAUCGUAGUGGUUUCUCUCAAUUUCUCUCAAGAACAAGUUUAGGGUUUCCAAUUGACGAUCCAAAUUCAAGAAAAUUUCACCGUCAAUCUUCGUAAAAUCAAGAACCAAGGUAUGUUAGAUGUUGAUUCUUGAAUUCCUUCCACCCAAGAAGUUCAAGAAUCAUUUUCUAAAAUUCAAAGAUUAUAUAUUUAUGAGUUUUCAUGAUUAAUGUGAAUUGAAAUUGAAGUUCAUGUUGUUAUUGAGUUUUUAAUUCAUGUUUUGUUUAUAAAGUUUCAAGCCUUGAUCCUAACAUGUGAUAUUUAUGUGAUGUUCAUGAUAAACCCCUUCAAGUUGCAUGUUUAUUGAUGUAUCCAUGAUAAUUAGGUGUAGGAAUUGUUGUAUAACCAAAGCAUGCUCCCCAUAUGUUUGAUAAAAUGCUUAUGUGAAGGAAAUAGAGUCAUUAUAGCAUGUUGACAAGAAAUCCCCAAUUGUGUAUAAGUUAAUGCAUGCCAAGUGUUUGUUGAAAGGCCUUAGUGAUGAAUUAUGAUAUGUUGUAUGCAUUCCUACUCAUGUGUAUUCCUUAUUGAAUGAAUUAUUAGAUAAUAGUAUGCACUCCCUAUACAUUUACAUGUUUAAGACUUCUAAGUGCUUGAAGAGAUGCCUCAUUAAUUGUGUUGUGAAUGAUAGCCUAUUGCCAUGUUAUGUAUGAGUUGUCGUGUCUUGUAUUAUUUAUGUUAUCGAGUCCUGGGGGUAUUUAUACCUGACAAAUUAGAGCUUGUCUAGAGCCAGUGUCAGUUUCAUGAUAAUCUCAGUCAUGCUAUGACUAGUAGUACUCUUAGUCAGUUACAGAACUCAGUAGAACUCAGACAGUGAUAGAACUUAGGAAAUCUCAGUAAUCUCAGUAUCAGUAGCAUUCCAAUUUUAGUUCAGUAAUCGAUUCAGAACUCAGUAAUAUUCCGUCAGUCAACGGAACUCAGUAAAUUUAGAUUAGCUCAGUCAAACAAGUACGAUCAGUAACAGUUUAGUCAAGCCUAGUAUGAAUUAGUAAUUAGUUCAGUGUUUUUCAGUUGGGAGUAAGAUUCACAUCGAGUGAACCUAGGGAUGAGGGCUCUCCCGCUAGAUAGGACUGAGAUCCCUAGAAGCAAUCCCUAAGUUCCAGAACAGCGUAGCCAGGUAGGUAUGAGAUAUCACCCGUUAGAUAGGACUGACAUACUCCGGGAUCACCCGCUAGUACAAGAUUGGUCUCAGGGGUCACCCGCUAGAUUAGGACUGACCCCAUAGCAGUUGUCUUUACCCGUGGAACAGUAUUGACACCCUUCCAGCUGGGGUUACAAGUUGGACCCCACUAGUUUAGAUUUGGGGCAUGUCGGUUAGAUGACUACCUCUCACAGUCUCAGCUUCAGAAUUAGUCUAAAUAAAAGAACUCAGCUCAAUAGCACAGAUUCAGGACUGUUAGAUAUAGUCACUCAUUAGUAUUAUCAAUGGAUUUAGAGAUCACCCGCUAGAUAGGACUGAUCUCAGAUUUAGUUAAGUAGUAUUAGUACCAACAGAUUCAGAGAUCAUCUGUUAGAUAGGACUGAUCUCAAAUACAGUUAAUUAGUAUCAAGUACCAUUAGAUUCAGAGAUCACCCGCUAGAUAUGACUGAUCUCAGAUUCAGUUAAUCAUCUUCAUUAUCAGUAUAUUCAGAGAUCACCCGUUAGAAAUGAAUGAUCUCAACCUCAGUCAAUCAAAUAUCAGUAUCAGUAGACUCAGUUAUCAGAAAUCUAGUUAUUAGAAUUCGGUAUUCAGUGUUCCUACGAUUUCAGUUAUAGUUGUGCAUUCAUGCAUGUAUCCUUAUUCAGUAUACUCAGAUGAUUUAGUCAGUAUUGUUCAUGCAUAUGAACCCCUACAUUUAGCCUACCUCAUCUAGCAUACCAGUACAUUCCACCGUACUGACGUAUACUUUUUUGUGCUAUGGUGUUUUAUACUAUAGGUUCAGAAUCAUAAGAUCCAGAGCACCCUUAGCAGUUCAGAUUCAGUCAGCAGCAGUAGACGUAGCCGUGAGUCCUCAUCAUUCAAGGAUAAUCUUUAUUUUAUUAUUUCACUAGAUUCAGUAUUUUAGUAGACAGAGUUAGUUGGGGACCUAUCCCAUCAACUCCACAGUUCAGACAAUUUAGAGGCUUUUCAGACAUAUGUAUCAGUAUUUAGUUUUCAGUUGUAUUUAAGAUAUUUAAGCCUCAUGGCAAGUUUUUUGCCAGUUUUCUGCAUUUUUAUAGUGUAUUAUGCAGUGCUCAGUUAUAGAUACUAGAAAAGGGUUAACUUGUGGUCCUUCAGGAUUAUGAGUACCGUGUAGCGUUUGGGGUACCAGACUUAUGGCGUUACAAACUUGGUAUCAGAGCCUAAGGUUCAACAGUGUCCUAGGAAGUCUGAAAUCCGUAUCUAGUAGUCUUGUGCAUGAGUGUGUUGCGCGCCACAUUUAUGCACAGGAGGCUAUAAAAUGUCUUAGGAACAAUUUCUCUUCUUUCAAUAUUCAUGUCAUGCGAGUGAGCAUGAGCUCAAGUUAAGACUCUCAGUGUAAUCCUGAUACGAUUCAAAUGGCCUCCUUAGCUUUCAAUGAGGUCAUUCGAAGUCAGUACGUGGGGCAUCAAGCUUUGGUCACAUUAAGGAAACAGGAUCCUACAUGGAGGGGCCGAUUUGAGUACACCAAAGAGCAACCCACAUGUGAAAGAUUGCUUGGAGCAUUGAAGAUUGAGGACUCACAGUUUUGGGCCUUCAUUAAGGAUAUUUUGAUUACUUAGCCUUGUCCAAGUAACACUCUAUGACCACCCCUUUUCAUUAAGGGUAUUGUGAUCUUUUUGUUAUGUAAUAAGUUAGACUAUAAAUAGGUUCUAUUAGUUCAUUUGGUAGUUAAUUUAUGAAAGAUAAAAGAUUGAAACAAUUGAAUUCCUUUCUCUUGAGAGUAGACUACCUUAGUAUAGUCUUAGUCAGGACUUGGAAAAGUCAUCCUUAGUAUAGGGCUUGGAAAAGCCAAUAUUGUUCUUUGCUUGAAAACGGUGGAUCUUGAGGUGAGUCGAUUACCUUGACGGUCACCGUAAGAGUGUGGUUCUGAUUAUUACAUUCAUUAGGGGUUAAUGUUGAAAUAUACUUGGUUCUUAAUCUUGUAAUAAUCUUGGUCUCACUAUCUAUCCUUUCAUUAUUUUGUAAAUCUGUGUGUUUUUGUGUUUGUCAUCUUGUAUCCCUUUGUGUUACUUGUUCUUCUCACAUUUUGUGGACUGUUUUGGCAUCUUGGUGGACUGAUUUGUAUCAUUUGGUAUCAAAGCAUGGAUUGAUCUUGUUCCCACAAGAUCAAUCUUGGGCUCGUAAACUUGAAAAUAAAAAAAAGUGUUAGAAAACUGAAAAAUCAAAAAGAGGUAAAUCUGUCCAUUUUUUGUGUUUGUUUGUGGCUGAAAUUGUGUUCUUGUUGUUGUUUUGGCCGAGAUUUGUGUCUAAAUCUAGGUGUGUUUUGAUUGUCUUAGUUGUUUCUAAGUGUUAGUUUUGUCUUCACUAACACCGUUGAGUCUAGAUCCAAGUUGAGCUUGAACAUGGUUGUUGGUAUUGUUGUUACGGUUUCAAGAACUUGAACAUUGUUGGUUUUGUUGUGUGGACCAAAACUUGAAGGUGGUUUGAGCUCGUGUUGUUGGUAUUUUGUUAUGGUUUUUAAGCUUGAAAAAGGUGUUGUUGAUUGUUGGAGGUUCAACGUGAGGCUAGGUUUUCAAAAAAGGUUUCAAGAACUUGAACAUUGUUGGUUUUGUUGUGUGGACCAAAACUUGAAGGUGGUUUGAGCUCGUGUUGUUGGUAUUUUGUUAUGGUUUUUAAGCUUGAAAAAGGUGUUGUUGAUUGUUGGAGGUUCAACGUGAGGCUAGGUUUUCGAACUUCUAUUGAAAGUUCUUGUUGUUCUAGACUCUCUUCAUGUCUAGUUGCAAAAAAGCUCUUCAAUAGUGUUGUUUGAUCCAAAAGCCAAGUGGAAAGAAGUGAGGCCUUUGUUAGUCUUUAAAACAAAUCCCAAAUACCUACCAAAAGCGAAGGAGGACAAAAAGAUCUACAAAAACUUUAUACUAAACGAGGGAAAAAAAUACCCUUUUAGGUGUCCAACAGAGGAAAGGGUCACCAACCCUUCAAAAAGGUGUCUUGCCCAAAAGGUGUAAGACAAGUCAAACCUUUUUGAAUGAGAAAAAGGGCUCCAAUCUUGAUAUUUUUCUUCCCCAAGGACGAAAUACACUUCUUCAAGAAUUGAAAAUUGAACCAAAAUUUCAAAGUUGAAAAAAUAAGAACCUUUAAAAAAUCGCACCAAUCCUAGACCGCCACAUCACUAAUUUUUGUACAAUACCGAAACUUAGGGCUUAAAAUCUUGGAUUCUUAGUUUCUUAUUGUUGAUUCUUAGUUUCAUUUUUUUUAUUCUUAUACUAAUUGGCAACUAGUAAUACCUACUAAGUUGUAAAUUAGUUUUUGAAUACGUUUCUUUCGUGUCUUCGUUAUUUGUGUGCUUUUCUCGUUUGUAACUCGUAGUAACUUCUUUAUUUCACGUUUAUAAGUGAAUUUUGUUUUGUGUCUUGAGUCAAUCAAAACAAGAAUCCAUUCCGACCUUCAAGUAGGAUUGACAUCUUAUUGACUACCGGAGUAUAAGCAACUUUCAAUAUUUGCCGCUCCAAUUGUGAGAAUCACAAAGGCGAGUGUAUCGAGUGUUGGUAAGGAGGUUUUUGUUUUCUUUUGUUUGUUCUUGUCUUUUUUGUUUUGUUUAUUAGGUACCAUGGCUGCGUAUAAUUUCAAGGCCACGUGUGAUCGCAUCCAUGACGAUCUUGAAGAUAUGCAACAACACAUUGAAAUUAUACGUCAAUUAUUACCCAAACUCUUUCCUCAAAAUCCAAUUGGCCAAACAACUGCGAUAAGAGCUUUCUGAAAGAAGUUGCUGCCCAAUCUUGUAAAGACGAACAUACUCAUGAACGUCAAGGUAAAAUAGCUAACCCUUACACUUUUGUGCAUGUGAAUGAUAAUUGUGUGGCUAGUAGCCCAUUGAGUGUGAGUUGUAGCUUGCCUAUAUGUGAUUCUAUUGUUUCUUUGACACUUGAUGAUGAUAUACUUGUUGUGAGUGUGGAUACACUAGUUGAUCCUAUUGAUGACCGAAUUGACUCUUCUUGUAAGAUCGAUUUAUGUCCACCUAGUGUUGAAAUCAUUGUGUUGAAUGAAAGUAUAUCGUCUUGUGAAAUUUAUGUUGAUCAACUUUUGUAUGAAAAUUGUCCACCACUUGAGGAUGUGUGUGAUGUGAUUAAUGAAUCUCAAGUGUUUGAUGAUGUUGAAAAUAUUAAUCAAAGGAAUAGGAGUAAACCCGAGAGCUAUUCUUGGGAUAAUCUUGCAUUUGAAAUCUCUUUGAAACUUGAUAUUGAUCUUUUAGAGAGUGAUGAACGUGUUUGUUCCGAAUAUGCCCGUGAUAUAGAUCAUGCUCUCUUAAGGUAUAAUGUCUUGUUUGAAGAUGAUAUAACCACUCCUAAUGAACCUAGUGGUGCAAAUGAUGGUAUAGCUUGCCUUAGAAGCUAUAGUCGAUAUGCUAAUCCACUAUGGUGUGAAAACAUUCCUCCUAAAGAUGAAAAUCUCUUCUUGAAAGAUGAGAGUACUCUUAAGGGUAAGGGAUGUGUGGAUUUGAAAACUACUUCUCCUUCUACUUUGUGUGACUUUAUUGUUGAGAGUACUCAUGGUGAUGAUUGUGAAACUAGUAGUGAGUACACACAUGAGGGCACCUUAGUAGAAGUCGACUUGAGUGAUACCUUUCUCUACUUUCAAUUUGCUCUGGAUAAUAUGUAUGUUAUUGUAGAGAGUAUGCCGUUUAUUUUGGGUGGAGACCACGGGAAAGGGGAGUGUUGUCUAGACCUGUAUCUAUGGCCACUCUUCCUGUUUGACCCCGGUGCCAAAUAUAGAAUUGGUGAUGAUGGUGCACCCAACUUGUUGCUUGGUUUACAUGACAAGCAAAGUAUUAUUUUUGGUGAAUUCUAUAGCCAAAUCCUUUGUGCAUUUUUCAUUAAUUAUGUAAUAUUUAGUUCAAAGAUCCUUGGUUAUAUUCUAAAUAUGUGAAACCUUGGCAUGUUGAGGUGAUUUGUCGUGUUUACCCUAACCCUCAUGCCAUGAGGAGUUUGUAUUUGUGUGUCCUUUCUUUGGUUUUGCAAGGUUUGGAUUCGAGGUCGAAUCAUUUUCAAGAAGGGGAGGAUGAUAUGAUUCAAUUGGCCUCCUUAGCUUUCAAUGACAUCAUUCGAAGUCAGUACGUGGGGUAUCAAACUUUGGUCACAUUAAGGAAACGGGAUCCUACAUGGAGGGGCCGAUUUGACUACACCAAGAGCAAUCCCACAUGUGAAAGAUUGCUUGGAGUAUUGAAGAUUAAGGACUCACGGUUUUGGGCCUUCAUUAAGGACAUUUUGGUUACUUAGCCUUGUCCAAGUGACACUCCAUGACCACCCCUUUUCAUUAAGGGUAUUGUGGUCAUUUUGUUAUGUAAUAAGUUAGACUAUAAAUAGGUUCUAUUAGUUCAUUUGCUAGUUAGUUUAUGAAAGAUGAAAGAUUGAAACACUUGAAAUCCUCUCUCUUGAGUGUAGACCACCUUAGUAUAGUCUUAGUUAGGACUUGGAAAAGGCAUCCUUAGUAUAGGGCUUGAAAAAGCCAAUAUUGUUCUCUGCUUGGAAACAGUGGAUCUUAAGGUGAGUCGAUUACCUUGGCGGUGACUGUAAGAGUGUGGUUUUGAUUAUUACAUUCAUUAGGGGUUAAUGUUGAAAUAUACUUGGUUUUUAAUCUUGUAAUAAUCUUGGUCUCACUAUCUAUCCUUUCAUUAUUUUGCAAAUUCAUGUGUUUUUGUGUUUGUCAUCUUGUUUCCUUUUGUGUUGCUUGUUUUUCUCACAUUUGUGGAUUGUUUGGGCAUCUUGGUGGACUGAUUUGUAUCAAAUCCAUUCUUUCUUUCAUUUAUAGAAUAUGCCUCCUCGCAGAGAUAAUGCCCAUAGAAAUGAUAACCAGCUACCUCAGCCCGUAGAUUCUUCGAAUGAGAAUGUGUCAUAUGCAGAAUUGCGGGCAGCCUUUCAGGCGCUAGCCCAAGCUAUGACAACUAGUUUUCAGGGUAACCGUCCGGCUGCAGCCUAACCUUAGCAAGAUGGCGGUUCAAUCGCAUCCAAAAUCAGAGAUUUCAUGAAUAUAAACCCGUCAGAAUUCUUUGGGUCAGUAGCAGGUGAGGACCCAUAACUUUAUCUUGGGAAGGUGAAGAAGAUCACCCAGAUUAUGCAUGUGUCUGAGGAGGAGAGUGUAGAAUUAGCAUCCUAUAGGUUGAAGGAUGUUGCUCAUGAUUGGGUAGUGAUAUGGAAGAAGCGUAGAGGGAAGGAUGCAACUCCCAUGACUUGGCAGGUAUUUCAGGAUGCAUUUUUAGAUACGUUUUUCCCACUCGAGAUCAGAGAAGUUAAGGUAGAAGAGUUCAUGAACCUAAGGCAAGGAUCCAUGACAGUGAAGGAGUAUUGCCUUAAGUUCAACCUGUUAGCUAAGUAUGCUCCUGAUUUGAUGGCUGACCCUAGAUCUAGCAUGAGUAAGUUUGUGAAUGGUGUGUCCGGGUUGGUAUUGAAGGAGUGUAGGACUGCUAUGCUCAAUAGAGAUAUGGAUCUUGCUAGGCUAAUGAUGCACGCUCAACAGAUUGAGGCCGAUAAGAUGAAGGAAAAAGAGACAGUGAAUAAGAAAGCCAAAAUAGGUAGUUAUAGAUUCUCUUAGGUAGGGUCACAGGGUGGUAACCGUUUUCAGCAUAGUCAGAAGUUUUUAGUCCCAGCUCUAUCCUCCGCUAGUGUACCAACACCAAACUUCAGGGAUGUCAGUUAUGAUGGGGCGCUACGCUCCAAAGCCCAGAUUAUCAUGAGAAGUGAGCGUACCUAUCCACUUUGUAAAGAAUGUGAAAAAAAUCACCUAGGUAUAUGUAGAGCAGGCAGCGAGGUAUGUUUUGGAUGUGGUAAGUUAGGCCAUAGGAUACGGGAGUGUAGAGUGCUAGAACAGAGGGGAUAAGAUUUGCGUCAGCAGGGCACCAAUAGUGGUCAGCGUCAGAAUAGAUUUUAUGCACUCCAAACCCAUCAUGAUUCAAAAAGUUUCCUUAAUAUAUAUUCGGGUAUGUUAUAAGUCCUUCAUCUUCAUUAUAUGCUUUGUUAGAUCUCUUACUCCUAUUUAAGCUUAAGUUUUCAGCAUGAGUUAGUCAGUAAGGCCAAUAAUUCAGUUUAGCAGUCAGACAGUUAAAUUCAUAUAGUUUGUUUUUCCUAUCUUUCCAUCUAGAUAUAUUAUCAGAAUGUCUAAGGAGUGUAGCUAUUCCAAGAUAGAGCAUCCAAGUAGUUGCGAGUUCAUCUUAGUUCAUGAGUCGUACAUUAGUUUCAGAUCCCAGAUGUUUAGUCAUGAUCCAGCUCGUAGGUGCCUUGUGCAUCGCCACAGUUUUCCUCAAGGGUCUCAAUAAAGUAAGCCUUCUUAGAGGGACAUAGUGUCCCAAGGGGGAGAUACCCUAUGGUUUCAUGACCUUAAACCCAUUCGGUUUCAUGCUUAGAUUUUCCUUACAAACUUAAUAUCAGUUAUCAUUGCAUACUCAAUCAUGCAUUCAAGAGUCAGUUCAGUCAAAUAUUCGUGCAUUAGAUAUGCAUGUUCAAUAGAAGAAGCUCAAGCUUAUCAAUAAUUUCAGUCAUGCUUUCAUGAGAAUCAACUCAGUCAGAUAUCUAUGCAUUAGAUAUGCAUGUUCAGUAUGAGAUUUCAGAAUAUCAGUAGUUCCAGUCUUAUAGUUAUGUUUCAGAUGUUCACGUCCCUUAUGUAAGUUCAGUCUAUCAGUAAUAUCAGCCUAGUCAGUCCCAUUCGAGGACGAAUGUUUCCAAGGGAGAAAUAUUGUAAGACCCCGUAAAUUCUCCUAGUCGUUAAAACUCUUUAAAGUAUGUCAAGGGAAGCUUCACACUUAAAAAAUUUGGCUAAGUUUUGGAACUUUUUCAUUUCAUAAGACUUCAAACUUUGAUGAUUUAUUUCAUGACCUUCCCGACCUUCGAUAGUUGAUAUUUUAGCUAAUUCUUGAUCCAGAAUAUCAAUAGGGGUUCCCGAACAAGUUUUGAAUUUUUUGAACCUCGUUUAGACCACAUUUGGGGUCUCAAAAUAGUAGAUCAACGUGAUCAUGGCCCGCCACCAUCGCCUAUCACAUUGGUUAACAAUGUUGUAGGCUGCCAGAAUAAAAAAUAUUGAGGCCCGAUGCGAUCAUGACGCAAUGCAUUGGCUAUCGCAUCGACCAACGCGUCGGCACCCAGUUUUCCAGUCAUUAAUAUAGCCGCUACCCCAGGGUUAUUUCAGUUUUUUCCCCACUCUUAUAUAACCCUAAAACACAUGAUUCAGCCAUAUUUCACCUGAACUGUAGUGGUUUCUCUCAAUUUCUCUCAAGAAGAAGUUUAGGGUUUCCAAUUGACAAUCCAAAUUCAAGAAAAUUCCACCGUCAAUCUUUGUAAAAUCAAUAACUAAGGUAUGUUAGAUGUUGAUUCUUGGGUUCCUUCCACCCAAGAAGUUCAAGAAUCCUGUUCUAAAAUUCAAAGAUUAUAUAUUUAUGAGUUUUCAUGAUUCAUGUGAAUUGAAAUUGAAGUUCAUGUUGUUAUUGAGUUUUUAAUUCAUGUUUUGUUUACAAAGUUCCAAGCUUUGAUCCUAGCAUGUGAUAUUUAUGUGAUGUUCAUGAUAAACCCUUUCAAGUUGCAUGUUGAUUGAUGUAUCCAUGAUAAUUAGGUGUAGAAAUUGUUGUAUAACCAAAGCAUGCUCCCCAUAUGUUUGAUAAAAUGCUUAUGUGAAGGAAAUAGAAUCAUUAUAGCAUGUUGACAAGAAAUCCCCAAUUGUGUAUAAGUUAAUGCAUGCCAAGUGUUUGUUGAAAAACCUUAGUGAAUGAAUUAUGAUAUGUUGCAUGCAUUCCUACUCAUGUGCAUUCCUUAUUGAAUGAAUUAUUAGAUAAUAGUAUGCACUCCCUAUACAUUUACAUGUUUAAGACUUCCAAUUGCUUGAAGAGAUGCCUCAUUGAUUGUGUUGUGAAUGAUAGCCUAUUGCCAUUUUAUGUACGAGUUGUCCUGUCUUGUAUUAUUUAUGUUAUCGAGUCCUGGGGGUAUUUAUACCCGACAAAUUAGAGCUUGUCUAGAGCCAGUGUCAUUUUCAUAAUAAUCUCAGUCAUGCCAUGAUUAGUAGUACUCUCAGUCAGUUGCAAAACUUAGUAGAACUCAGACAGUUACAGAACUUAUAAAAUUUCAGUAAUCUUAGUAUCAGUAGCAUUCCAGCUUCAGUUCAGUAAUAGAUUCAGAACUCAAUAAUAUUCCAUCAGUCAACGGAACUCAGUGAAUUUAGUUUAGCUCAGUCAAACAAGUACGAUCAGUAACAUUUCAGUCAAGCCUAGUAUGAAUUAGUAAUUAGUUCAGUGUCUUUCAGUUGGGAGUAGGAUUUAGCACCGAGCGAACCUAGGGAUGGGGGCUCACCCGCUAGAUACGACUAAGAUUCUUAGAAGCAAUACCUAUGUUCUAGAACUACGUAGCCAGCGUAGGUAUGAGAUGUCACCCAUUAGAUAGGAUUGACAUACUCCGGGGUCACCCGCUAGUACAUGAUUGGUCUAAGGGGUCACCCGCUAGAUUAAGAAUGACCCCAUAACAGUUGUCUUUAUCUGUGGCAUGGUGCUGACACCCUUCCAGCUGGGGUUACAGGUUGGACCCCACUAGUUCAGAUUCGGGGCAUGUCUCUUAGAUAACUACCUCCCAUAGUCCCAUCUUUAGAAUCAGUCUCAGUAAAAGAACUCAGCUCAGUAGCAUAGAUUCAGGACUGUUAGAUACAGUCACCCAUUGGUAUUAUCAAUAGAUUUAGAGAUCACCCGCUAAAUAGGACUGAUCUCAGAUUUAGUCAAGCAAUAUCAAUAUCAGUACCAACAGAUUCAGAGAUCACCCGUUAGAUAGGACUGAUCUCAAAUACAGUCAAUCAGUAUGAAGUACCAUUAGAUUCAGAGAUCACCCGCUAGAUAGGACUGAUCUCAGAUUUAGUUAAUCAUCUUCAUUAUUAGUAUAUUUAGAGAUUACCCGCUAGAAACGACUGAUCUCAGCCUCAGUCAAUCAGAUAUCAGUAGACUCAGUUAUCAGAAUUCCAGUUAUUAGAAUUUGGUAUUCAGUGUUCCUAUGAUUUCAAUUAUAGUUGUGCAUUCAUGUAUGUAUCCUCAUUCAAUAUACUCAGAUGAUUUUGUCUGUAUUGGUCAUGCAUAUGAACCCUUACAUUUAGCCUUACCUAAUCUAGCAUACCAGUACAUUCUACCUACUGAAGCAUACUUUUCUGCGCUAUGGUGUUUGAUACCAUAGGUUCAGAAGUACGAGAUCCAGAGCACCCUUAGCAGUUCAGAUUCAGUCAGCAGCAGUAGACAUAGCAGUGAGUCCUUAUCAUUCGAGGAUAAUCUUUAUUUUACUAUUGCACUAGAUUCAGUAUUUUAGUAGACGGAGUUAGUUGGGGACUUGUCCCAUCAACUCCACAGUUCAGACAGUUUAGAGGAUUUUCAGACGGAUGAAUUAGUAUGUAGUUUUCAAUUGCAUUUCAGAUAUUUGAACCUCAUGGCAAUGUUUCUGCCAGUUUUCUGCAUUUUUAUAGUGUAUUAUGCAGUGCUCAGU